rnacentral:rRNA from 1 species
AUUGAACGCUGGCGGCAAGCCUAACACAUGCAAGUCGAACGAGUGGCGGACGGGUGAGUAAUGUUUGGGAAACUGCCUGACGGAGGGGGAUAACUACUGGAAACGGUAGCUAAUACCGCAUACCAUCGGAUGUGCCCAGAUGGGAUUAGCUAGAAGGUGGGGUAAAUGCUCACCUAGGCGACGAUCCCUAGCUGGUCCGAGAGGAUCACCAGCGACACUGGCACUGAGACACGGUCCAGGCUCCUACGGGAGGCAUCAAUGGGGAAUAUUGCACAAUGGGCGCAAGCCUGAUGCAGCCAUGCGGCGUGUAUGAAGAAGGCCUUCGGGUUGUACAGUACUUUCAGCGGGGAGGCGUUACCCGCAGAAGAAGCACCGGCUAACUCCGUGCCAGCAGCCGCGGUAAUAC